GCGGAAGUUUUCGGAUGGAAGCAAUAAACCUUAGCGGCGGACGGGUGAGUAACGCGUGGGUAACCUGCCUCAUACAGGGGGAUAACAGUUAGAAAUGACUGCUAAAACCGCAUAAGCGCACAUUGUCGAGUGACAGAGUGUGAAAAACUCCGGUGGUAUGAGAUGGACCCGCGUCUGAUUAGCUAGUUGGUGAGGUAACGGCCCACCAAGGCGACGAUCAGUAGCCGGCCUGAGAGGGCGACCGGCCACAUUGGGACUGAGACACGGCCCAAACUCCUACGGGAGGCAGCAGUGGGGAAUAUUGCACAAUGGGGGAAACCCUGAUGCAGCGACGCCGCGUGAGUGAAGAAGUAUUUCGGUAUGUAAAGCUCUAUCAGCAGGGAAGAAGAAAGACGGUACCUGACUAAGAAGCCCCGGCUAACUACGUGCCAGCAGCCGCGGUAAUACGUAGGGGGCAAGCGUUAUCCGGAUUUACUGGGUGUAAAGGGAGCGUAGACGGCUGUGCAAGUCUGAAGUGAAAGCCCAGGGCUCAACCCUGGGACUGCUUUGGAAACUGUGGAGCUAGAGUGCUGGAGAGGUAAGUGGAAUUCCUAGUGUAGCGGUGAAAUGCGUAGAUAUUAGGAGGAACACCAGUGGCGAAGGCGGCUUACUGGACAGUAACUGACGUUGAGGCUCGAAAGCGUGGGGAGCAAACAGGAUUAGAUACCCUGGUAGUCCACGCGGUAAACGAUGAAUACUAGGUGUUGGAGAGCAAAGCUUUUCGGUGCCGUCGCAAACGCAAUAAGUAUUCCACCUGGGGAGUACGUUCGCAAGAAUGAAACUCAAAGGAAUUGACGGGGACCCGCACAAGCGGUGGAGCAUGUGGUUUAAUUCGAAGNCACGCGAAGAACCUUACCAAGUC
rnacentral:rRNA from 1 species